GUGCGGGUGGCGAAACCGGCAAACGCACUGGCCCGAGAUGCCAGGUCUUGAGGGUUCGACUCCCUCUCCGCACA
rnacentral:tRNA from 1 species